GUGGGGAAUAUUGGACAAUGGGCGAAAGCCUGAUCCAGCCAUGCCGCGUGAGUGAUGAAGGCCUUAGGGUUGUAAAGCUCUUUCAGUAGGGAAGAUAAUGACGGUACCUACAGAAGAAGCCCCGGCUAACUUCGUGCCAGCAGCCGCGGUAAUACGAAGGGGGCUAGCGUUGUUCGGAUUUACUGGGCGUAAAGCGCACGUAGGCGGAUUGGUCAGUUAGAGGUGAAAUCCUGGAGCUCAACUCCAGAACUGCCUUUAAUACUGCCAGUCUAGAGUCCAGAAGAGGUGAGUGGAACUCCUAGUGUAGAGGUGGAAUUCGUAGAUAUUAGGAAGAACACCAGUGGCGAAGGCGGCUCACUGGUCUGGUACUGACGCUGAGGUGCGAAAGCGUGGGGAGCAAACAGGAUUAGAUACCCCGGUAGUCC
rnacentral:rRNA from 1 species